rnacentral:rRNA from 1 species
UAGCCAGACUCCUACGGGAGGCAGCAGUGAGGAAUAUUGGUCAAUGGCCGAGAGGCUGAACCAGCCAAGUCGCGUGAGGGAAGACGGUCCUAUGGAUUGUAAACCUCUUUUGUCGGGGAGCAAAAGACGCCACGCGUGGCGUUCCGAGAGUACCCGAAGAGAAAGCAUCGGCUAACUCCGUGCCAGCAGCCGCGGUAAUACGGAGGAUGCGAGCGUUAUCCGGAUUUAUUGGGUUUAAAGGGUGGGCAGGCGGAAAAUAAAGUCGGGGGUAAAUUGGGGAGACCCACCCUCUUCGAGCCGUUGAAACUGGUUUUCUUGAGUGAGCGAGAAGUAUGCGGAAUGCGUGGUGUAGCGGUGAAAUGCAUAGAUAUCACGCAGAACUCCGAUUGCGAAGGCAGCAUACCGGCGCUCAACUGACGCUCAUGCACGAAAGUGUGGGUAUCGAACAGGAUUAGAUACCCCUGUA